rnacentral:rRNA from 1 species
AGUGAACGCUGGCGGUAGGCCUAACACAUGCAAGUCGAACGGCAGCACAGUAAGAGCUUGCUCUUACGGGUGGCGAGUGGCGGACGGGUGAGGAAUACAUCGGAAUCUACUUUUUCGUGGGGGAUAACGUAGGGAAACUUACGCUAUACCGCAUACGACCUACGGGUGAAAGCAGGGGAUCUUCGGACCUUGCGCGAUUGAAUGAGCCGAUGUCGGAUUAGCUAGUUGGCGGGGUAAAGGCCCACCAAGGCGACGAUCCGUAGCUGGUCUGAGAGGAUGAUCAGCCACACUGGAACUGAGACACGGUCCAGACUCCUACGGGAGGCAGCAGUGGGGAAUAUUGGACAAUGGGCGCAAGCCUGAUCCAGCCAUACCGCGUGGGUGAAGAAGGCCUUCGGGUUGUAAAGCCCUUUUGUUGGGAAGGAAAAGCAGCAGGUUAAUACCCCGCUGUUCUGACGGUACCCAAAGAAUAAGCACCGGCUAACUUCGUG